GAUGAACGCUGGCGGCGUGCCUAAUACAUGCAAGUCGAGCGAACAGACGAGGAGCUUGCUCCUUUGACGUUAGCGGCGGACGGGUGAGUAACACGUAGGUAACCUACCUAUAAGACUGGGAUAACUUCGGGAAACCGGAGCUAAUACCGGAUAAGAUUUCGAACCGCAUGGUUCGAUAGUGAAAGAUGGCUUUGCUAUCACUUAUAGAUGGACCUGCGCCGUAUUAGCUAGUUGGUAAGGUAACGGCUUACCAAGGCAACGAUACGGAGCCGACCUGAGAGGGUGAUCCGCCACACUGGAACUGAGACACGGUCCAGACUCCUGCGGGAGGCAGCAGUAGGGAAUCUUCCGCAAUGGGCGAAAGCCUGACGGAGCAACGCCGCGUGAGUGAUGAAGGUCUUCGGAUCGUAAAGCUCUGUUAUUAGGGAAGAACAAACGUGUAAGUAACUGUGCACGUCUUGACGGUACCUAAUCAGAAAGCCACGGCUAACUACGUG
rnacentral:rRNA from 1 species